GCAGGUAGUUGAGCUCGUGGUCCGCGGACUCAUAAUCCGCCGGUCGGAGGUUCGAGUCCUCCCCGCCCCA
rnacentral:tRNA from 1 species